UACGGAAGGCAGCAGUGGGGAAUAUUGCACAAUGGGCGCAAGCCUGAUGCAGCCAUGCCGCGUGUAUGAAAAAGGCCUUCGGGUUGUAAAGUACUUUCAGUCGUGAGGAAGGUGUUAAGGUUAAUAACCUUAGCAAUUGACGUUAGCGACAGAAGAAGCACCGGCUAACUCCGUGCCAGCAGCCGCGGUAAUACGGAGGGUGCGAGCGUUAAUCGGAAUUACUGGGCGUAAAGGGCACGCAGGCGGUUAAUUAAGUUGGAUGUGAAAUCCCCGGGCUUAACCUGGGAAUGGCAUUCAAGACUGGUUAGCUAGAGUCUUGUAGAGGGGGUGAAAUUCCAUGUGUAGCGGUGAAAUGCGUAGAGAUGUGGAGGAAUACCGGUGGCGAAGGCGGCCCCUGGGACAAAGACUGACGCUCAUGUGCGAAAGCGUGGGGAGCAAACAGGGAUUAGAUACC
rnacentral:rRNA from 1 species